rnacentral:rRNA from 1 species
AACGAACGCUGGCGGCAUGCCUAACACAUGCAAGUCGAACGAGACCUUCGGGUCUAGUGGCGCACGGGUGCGUAACGCGUGGGAACCUGCCCUUAGGUUCGGAAUAACUCCCCGAAAGGGGUGCUAAUACCGGAUAAUGUCUUCGGACCAAAGAUUUAUCGCCUUUGGAUGGGCCCGCGUUGGAUUAGCUAGUUGGUAGGGUAAAAGCCUACCAAGGCGACGAUCCAUAGCUGGUCUGAGAGGAUGAUCAGCCACACUGGGACUGAGACACGGCCCAGAAUCCUACGGGAGGCAGCAGUGGGGAAUAUUGGACAAUGGGCGAAAGCCUGAACCAGCAAUGCCGCGUGAGUGAUGAAGGCCUUAGGGUUGUAAAGCUCUUUUACCCGGGAUGAUAAUGACAGUACCGGGAGAAUAAGCUCCGGCUAACUCCGUG